GCGUGAGUGAAGAAGGCCUUAGGGUUGUAAAACUCUUUCGCCGGUGAAGAUAAUGACGGUAGCCGGAGAAGAAGCCCCGGCUAACUUCGUGCCAGCAGCCGCGGUAAUACGAAGGGGGCUAGCGUUGUUCGGAAUUACUGGGCGUAAAGCGCACGUAGGCGGAUUCGUAAGUUGGGGGUGAAAUCCCCGGGCUCAACCCGGGAACUGCCUUCAAAACUGCGGAUCUGGAGGUCAGGAGAGGCGAGCGGAAUUCCGAGUGUAGAGGUGAAAUUCGU
rnacentral:rRNA from 1 species